rnacentral:rRNA from 1 species
UGGGGAAUUUUGGACAAUGGGCGCAAGCCUGAUCCAGCAAUGCCGCGUGCAGGAUGACGGCCUUCGGGUUGUAAACUGCUUUUGUACGGAACGAAACAGCUCUUUCUAAUACAGAGGGCGAAUGACGGUACCGUAAGAAUAAGCACCGGCUAACAACGUGCCAGCAGCCGCGGUAAUACGUAGGGUGCGAGCGUUAAUCGGAAUUACUGGGCGUAAAGCGUGCGCAGGCGGUGAUGUAAGACAGAUGUGAAAUCCCCGGGCUCAACCUGGGACCUGCAUUUGUGACUGCAUCGCUGGAGUACGGCAGAGGGGGAUGGAAUUCCGCGUGUAGCAGUGAAAUGCGUAGAUAUGCGGAGGAACACCGAUGGCGAAGGCAAUCCCCUGGGCCUGUACUGACGCUCAUGCACGAAAGCGUGGGGAGCAAAC